rnacentral:rRNA from 1 species
UUCCGGUUGAUCCCGCCGGAGGCUACCGCUAUUGGAGUUCGAUUAAGCCAUGCGAGUCGCGAGUCUUCAAGGACUCGGCGUACCGCUCAGUAACACGUGGGUAACCUGCCCUAUGCUGGGGGAUAACCUCGGGAAACUGAGAAUAAUACCCCAUAGUUCACCACGCCUGGAACGGUGGGUGGAUGAAAGCUCCGGCGGCAUAGGAUGGGCCUGCGGCGUAUCAGGUUGUAGGGGGUGUAAUGUACCCUCUAGCCAUCUACGCGUACGGGUGUUGGGAGACAUCGCCCGGAGAUGGAUUCUGAGACACGAAUCCAGACCCUACGGGGUGCAGCAGGCGCGAAAACUUGGCAAUGCGAGCAAUCGUGACCAGGGAACUCCAAGUGCAUCGGGUAAGACCGAUGCUUUUCUUGACUCUUCAAAGGUCUUGGAAUAAGGGGUGGGUAAGGACGGUGCCAGCCGCCGCGGUAAUACCGGCGCCUCAAGUGGUAGUCGCUUUUAUUGGGCCUAAAACGUCCGUAGCCGGUUUGGUACAUUCGUGGGUAAAUCAAGGCGCUCAACGUCUUGAAUUCUGCGAGCACGGCCAGACUUGGGACCGGGUGAGGUGUGGGGUACUCUCAGGGUAGGGGUAAAAUCCUGUCAUCCUGAGAGGACCACCUGUUGCGAAGGCGCCACACUAGAACGGAUCCGACGGUCAGGGACGAAGCCUAGGGGCACGAACCGGAUUAGAUACCCGGGUAGUCCUAGGUGUAAACGCUGUGGACUUGAUGUUGGGAGUGCUCCGAGCACCCUCAGUGUCGAAGCGAAGGUGAUAAGUCCACUGCCUGGGGAGUACGGUCGCAAGGCUGAACUUAAAGGAAUUGGCGGGGGAGCACCGCAACCUGAGGAUUGUGCGGUUUAAUUGGAUUCAACGCCGG